rnacentral:rRNA from 1 species
UACGAGGGGGGCAAGCGUUGUUCGGAAUUACUGGGCGUAAAGGGCUCGUAGGCGGCCAACUAAGUCAUACGUGAAAUCCCUCGGCUUAACCGGGGAACUGCGUCUGAUACUGGAUGGCUUGAGUUCGGGAGAGGGAUGCGGAAUUCCAGGUGUAGCGGUGAAAUGCGUAGAUAUCUGGAGGAACACCGGUGGCGAAGGCGGCAUCCUGGACCGAUACUGACGCUGAGGAGCGAAAGCCAGGGGAGCAAACGGG